rnacentral:rRNA from 1 species
CGUGUAGGCGGGCCUGUUAGUCAGUGGUGAAAUCCUGCGGCUUAACCGUAGAACUGCCUCUGAUACUGCAGGUCUUGAGUUCGGAAGAGAGAGAUGGAAUUCCAGGUGUAGUGGUGAAAUACGUAGAUAUCUGGAAGAACACCAGUGGCGAAGGCGAUCUCUUGGUCCGUAACUGACGCUGAGGCGCGAAAGCGUGGGUAGCAAACA